GACGAACGCUGGCGGCGUGCUUAACACAUGCAAGUCGAACGGAAAGGCGCUGCUUUUGUGGGGUGCUCGAGUGGCGAACGGGUGAGUAACACGUGAGUAACAUGCCCUUGACUUUGGGAUAACUUCAGGAAACUGGGGCGAAUACCGGAUAGGAGCUCCUGCUGCAUGGUGGGGGUUGGUAAGUGUCGGCGGUUGGGGAUGGACUGGCGGCUUAUCCGCUUGUUUGUGGGGUAGUGGCUGACCAAGGCUGUGACGGGUAGCCGGCAUGAGAGGGGGAACGGCGACAAGGCGCCUGCGAGACGGCCCAGAAGCCUACGGGAGGCAGUAGUGGGGAAUAUUGCACAAUGGGCGGAAGCCUGAUGCAGCAACGUCGCGUGCGGGAUGACGGCCUUCGGGUUGUAAACCGCUUUCGCCUGUGACGAAGCGUGAGUGACGGUAAUGGGUAAAGAAGCACCGGCUAACUACGUG
rnacentral:rRNA from 1 species